rnacentral:rRNA from 1 species
GACGAACGCUGGCGGCGUGCCUAAUACAUGCAAGUCGAGCGGACCUUUGAAGAGCUUGCUCUUUGAGGUUAGCGGCGGACGGGUGUGUAACACGUGGGCAACCUGCCUGUAAGCUUGGGAUAACUCCGGGAAACCGGUGCUAAUACCGAAUAGAACAGAGGACCGCAUGGUCCUUUGUGAAAAGACCUUGUGUCACUUACAGAUGGGCCCGCGGCGCAUUAGCUUGGUGGUGGGGUAACGGCCUACCAAGGCGACGAUGCGUAGCCGACCUGAGAGGGUGAUCGGCCACACUGGGACUGAGACACGGCCCAGACUCCUACGGGAGGCAGCAGUAGGGAAUCUUCCGCAAUGGACGAAAGUCUGACGGAGCAACGCCGCGUGAGCGAUGAAGGUUUUCGGAUCGUAAAGCCCUGUUGUUAGGGAAGAACCGCCGGGAUCACCUCCCGGUAUGACGGUACCUAACGAGAAAGCCCCGGCUAACUACGUGCCAGCCGCCGCCGUAACAC